rnacentral:rRNA from 1 species
UAGACUGGGGGCACCCUGACCGCAAUGCCGCGUGAGUGAAGAAGGCCUUCGGGUUGUAAAGCUCUUUUGUCAGGGAAGAAACACCGGCUCUAACACAGUCCGGGAAUGACGGUACCUGAAGAAUAAGCACCGGCUAACUACGUGCCAGCAGCCGCGGUAAUACGUAGGGUGCAAGCGUUAAUCGGAAUUACUGGGCGUAAAGCGUGCGCAGGCGGUUAUACAAGACAGGCGUGAAAUCCCCGGGCUUAACCUGGGAAUGGCGCCUGUGACUGUAUAGCUAGAGUGUGUCAGAGGGGGGUAGAAUUCCACGUGUAGCAGUGAAAUGCGUAGAUAUGUGGAGGAAUACCAAUGGCGAAGGCAGCCCCCUGGGAUAACACUGACGCUCAUGCACGAAA